CAUACGGAGCUGAGGAGGAUUCAGGGGAGGAGACAGAGUGACCUCACUGAUCUUUAUAUCACCCCAGCUAUACACCACCGUUUUGGACUGUGGAAAGAACCAAGAGAAAACACAAAAAAAUGGAAAGAACACACAAACUCCACACCAUAAUCAUCAGAAUUGGUCCCAUGUGAGACAGCAAAGCAAACCGUGCCCUGAGCCAGCUGCCAUCCACAUUAUUGUUAAUGGGUACUGAGUCUGAACCUCAUGUACCAAGCUCCAAAAAGGGUCCCAGGUUACCGACAUCUGGCUCUGAUGGUGUCCAAAGGUUAUGGAGAAGAGUUGCGGGUGAGUAUCCACACUUUGGACAUCUACCUGAUCCAUCUGUUACACAGUGACUUCUCUGGCUCUGGGAAACAUAUGCCCUAUAUAACGUUUUAAUGUGAAUUUCUUGCAGAAUUGAGGAUCUCGGAAUACGCAGAGUUGUACCAUAAUAUUUGAAUAAUGUGUCCUCUUGUAUCAAUAAAGGGAAAUCUUUACUCCAAUUAUCUGUUGAAGAUUUCCAAAGAUUUUUUUGUCCAUGUUUUUAAAAUUUCUGCAUAAACAAGUUUGGGUUUGUAUUUGUUUUGUUUAAAUUUAAUAAAAAUCUUCUGAAUCG